rnacentral:lncRNA from 1 species
UACUCUUGCAUGGACUGUGUUUCUUGCUCAUGCACCCUCUUUCCCCUCUCUUCCCAGCUCAAUCCACACAGAAGCUCCUUGGCUGUUCAGAAGAGCUCCCACCUCCACUCUCAGCUGUUUUGGCACACAGGAGAGCACUCCCACACCUGCAGGGGCACCGUGUCCCUCCUGGGCUGUCCCUUGGGGCUGAGGGAAGGACAUGCAGGUGCAGCUAUGAAGAUAUGAUAAUACCAGAACUGGAGACAGAAGGUCCUGUUGGGGAUAAAGAAGCAGAGUGAAGGAGUGGAAGCCAAACCUAAAAGUGCACAGCCAGUGUCUAGCGUGGCAACACCAUCAGAAGAGCAUUAUGAGCUGCAUGCUGUUACAGAAUGUGGCAGAGUGGCACAUUCAGCAUGCAGGGCUGGUGAGAGCAGCAGUGGUCAACAAAGCAGUGUGUAAGAAACCCUCUUCCUAUUUCCAAUCAAAAGUGGAGUGCAUUUCCUCCUUUUUUAGAAUGGGAUGGAAAUGGGAAUGGGAAUGGGAAUGGGAAUGGGAAUGGGAAUGGGAAUGGGAAUGGGAAUGGGAAUGGGAAUGGGAAUGGGAAUGGGAAUGGGAAUGGGAAUGGGAAUGGGAAUGGGAAUGGGAAUGGGAAUGGGAAUGGGAAUGGGAAUGGGAAUGGGAAUGGGAAUGGGAAUGGG